GGGAGUGAAAUAGAACCUGAAACCCUGCACUUACAAGCUGUGGAAGCACAUUUCUUGUGUGACCGCGUACUUUUUGUAGAACGGGCCAACGAGUUACGUUAAGUAGCAAGGUUAAGCACUUAAGGUGUGGAGCCGUAGCGAAAGCGAGUUUUAACUGAGCGUUCAGUUACUUGACGUAGACCCGAAACCGGGCGACCUACCCAUGAGCAGGAUGAAGCGAAAGUAAAAUUUCGUGGAGGUCCGAACCCACGAGCGUUGAAAAGCUCGGGGAUGACUUGUGGGUAGCGGUGAAAUUCCAAUCGAGCCCGGAGAUAGCUGGUUCUCCCCGAAAUAGCUUUAGGGCUAGCCUCAAGGUGAGAGAUACGGAGGUAGAGCACUGAAUGUCCUAGGGGGUAUUGCACCUACCGAAGACUAUCAAACUCCGAAUGCCGUCAUCUUAUACUUGGGAGUCAGACUGUGGGUGAUAAGAUUCAUAGUCGAAAGGGCAACAGCCCAGAUCGUCAGCUAAGGUCCCUAAAUGUAAGUUAAGUGGUAAAGGAUGUGGGAUUGCACAGACAACCAGGAUGUUGGCUUAGAAGCAGCCACUCAUUCAAAGAGUGCGUAAUAGCUCACUGGUCGAGUGAUCCUGCGCCGAAGAUUUCCGGGGCUAAAACUUACUACCGAAGCUACG
rnacentral:rRNA from 1 species